rnacentral:lncRNA from 1 species
AGGAGUGCCGCACAGAGUGUGCAACAUUCCGUCCGGUCGGAUCUGCUCCUUCACCGCACUGAGUCCGAAAUCCGAUAUCUUCAGGUCCCAAUUUUCGUCGAGCAAGAGGUUCUCGAGCUUCAAAUCUCGAUGGAAGACUCCUCUGGAGUGACAAUACUCAACGGCUGAGAUUAGCUGCUGAAAGUACCGACGGCUGAGCUGCUCGCUGAAACGUCCCUUCGAGAUCUUGGCGAAGAGCUCGCCGCCCUUUGCGAACUCCAUCACGAAAUAGAUCUUGGCCUUGGUGGCCAGGACCUCGUACAGCUUCACGAUGUUAGGGUGGCGCAGCCGGCUCAUGAUAGAGAUCU